GUCUACGGCCAUGACACACUGAACAAGCCCAAUCCUGUCUGAUUUCGGAAGUUAAGCAAGGUCGGGCCUGGUUAGUACUUGGAUGGGAGACCACCUAGGAAGACCAGGUGCUGUAGACA
rnacentral:rRNA from 1 species